rnacentral:lncRNA from 1 species
UUCAUCAUGCUGAGCUGUGAGUGGCCUGGAGGCGAGCCCCGUGCCAUGCUGAGCUGGCUGGAUGGACAGCAGCAAACCCUGGGCACCACUAGCCCCUCACUGGCCAUCCACCUCCUGCAUACCCAGGACGAUCUGGCUGGCCGAGAGUUCACCUGCAGGGGCAGUCACCCCCUCAGGGUCCCUGACCCCCACUGCCGGCUCCUGCUGGGUGAGUAGGGGCUGGUGGCUUGGUUCUGGGGCGGAGGUGGGAGAGCAGCCCUUUGGAAUUGUGAUGAGGGCCUCUGGGGGGGGGGGGUGGUGUCUGCGCUGGAUGCAAAGUGAGUCAGGAGACUGAGUCACCUCACCUCCCAGAACUCAAGUUGUUUCGAUCCAUAAAGUCAGGGGGUUUGGUCCGGGUCUGUGUUGCCCAAUAAAAAUAGGUGAGCCGUAUAUAUAAUUUAAAAUUUUACAUUUAAAAAAAGUACAAAGAAAUAAGAGAAACAUUUUAUGGAACUCAAUAUAUCCAACAUAUUAUUACUUCGAUGUUUAAUAAUAAACAAUUAUGAAUGAGGUAUCUUAUUCUACUGUCCUCAAAAUCCAGUGUAUUUACUUACAACCCAUCUCAGUGUGGUCUGGCCCCCUUUCAAGUGUGCAACAGUCCCGUGUGACCAGGGGCUACCGCUAUUGGGCAGCACCCUGUCUAGCCGGUGAGGGAAUUCUGUCUCCCUCAUUUGCAUCAAUUUGCAUGAGAGGUGCCUGAUUAUAUUCCUGCCUUGCAUUAGUGUUUCAGGUGUCAGAGGUCUCUCUCUUCCUCUCUCACUGCUUCUAUUUGUUUUGGUCUGGUUUCCUUCUCUGUCCUCAUCUGGCCCUGCCAGUCCUUUUUAUUGCCAGCUCCGCGAAAAAGAGUUAAAUACUGAAGUGAAAAAUGUGAGAAAACACACAGUCACAUGUAGCAGUUCGCACAAAAUGAUUUACAUCUUGGUCUCCAGGGGUUUGGUGACAGCCUCCCUGGGCUCUCAGAAGGCCCUCAUCUGGGAAUAUUUCCCUCCCUUAUUAGUCAGUCUUGGGGUUGGAAAUUCUAUCCUAGGAGAUUCACUGACACCUGAAACUCUGGGUCUUUAGGACUCAGUCCAUAAAAAGCAUCUGCUCUGGGCCCAGCCCAAUGCCCUGGGGGUGGGAGCUGGUGGGCUAUUUAGGGAGGUAUUAGGAGGCCCCAUGCCAGGUACUAGGAGGGAGCUGGUUAACACAGGGGUGACUAAGGCAGGGGCCCCACCUAUAGGAGCUGAGACUAGAGUUGGGGCCUGAAGGCACACUGCUAUUGUCAAGAAAUCUGGAACCAGAUUGUGGCAGGACUCUGGCAUAGAACGGGAUCCUGGAAGAGGCAGCAGACUGGCCCAAGACAAGCUCCACUGCCAACUCCACUGGCCCCGUCUCUCCUCUGUUUCCCCUCCCUAUCCCCUCCACUGCUGGGCUACCCCCAAGCCUUCCCACUAGCCCAGGCACGGGGGACACCUUCCAGCCUCACCCUCUCUGUCCCUGCAGAAGCCCCACAGGUGGCAGUGGCUAAGCCCCAGGUGUCCGUGCUGGAAGGGGGAGAGGCCUGGCUGGGGUGUGCCCUCCUGGGGGGCACGCCACCUGUCCAGCUCCUCUGGCUGGGACCCCAGCGACGGCAAGUGGAAGCUGGCCCUUCUGGAUUCAUGCUGCACCCUGAGGGGGCCCAGCUCCACCUUAGCAUCCGGGACGCUGACCCAGCACGCCACAGGGGCGCCUACCAGUGCGUGGCUCACAAUGCCUUAGGGAACAGCAGUCGGAGCGUCCUGUUGGAGGUCCUGAGUGAGUGAGCGAUAGUGGGUGUUUGCGUGGCGAGGGGCAUGGGGAAACCUCCAGCCGUAACCCUGCAGGUGGAAAGACGCAGGAAUCCUCUGCUCCAAAAUUAAAAAAAAAAAAAAUCUUAAUGUUCAUUUUAGAGAGAGAGAGGGGGGGGAGGGGCAGAGAGAGAGGGAGACAGAAUCUGAAGGAGGCUCUAGGCUCUGAGCUGUCAGCACAGAGCCUGACGUGGGGCUUGAACUCACGAAUUGCGAGAUCCUGACCUGAGCCGACGUCGGACGCCCAACCGACUGAGCCACCCAGGUGCCCCCUCGGCUCCAAAAUUUAGACCCGUUAACUCCUCAGGCACAGACAGGCCCUCAAAAGCGCAAACCCAGACGGGCUUAUGUGAACGUGAACCUGAUGAACCUGAUGCACUCUUGAAUGAAGGCCAGCAGCACUCCAUGCUGUCAGAAUAACGUCCUCAGUUUGUAGGUGACGACACUAGGGCACCAUAGACUGAAACUACACAGGACUGAUCAGGUCUACAGACCUCAGUGUGGUGCCGCACUCCUGGCUGUCUCUCAACAACAUUGGAAUCAAUUUGGGGGCGCAAGCACACCGACAUAUGUGGUUAUAGGUGUGCAGGUGCCGUAUGUGUCCCCGCCCUCACCCCCAGGAUACCCAGCUCCUCCCAACGUCACCAUCAGCCGCCUGACAUACGGGAGACACCGGAGGGAGGUGCAGCUGCAGUGGGCCGUCCGAGGCCCUGGGAACCUGACGGGCUUCCUGGUGCAGCGGAGGGCCAGUGUCCCGAGCCCAGGAGCU